UACGAAGGGUGCAAGCGUUGUUCGGAUUUAUUGGGCGUAAAGCGCGCGUAGGCGGACCUGCAAGUCAGAUGUGAAAUCUCGGGGCUCAACCCCGAAACUGCGUCUGAAACUACAGGUCUAGAAUCUUGGAGGGGGAAGGGGAAUUUCACAUGUAGGGGUAAAAUCCGUAGAUAUGUGAAGGAACACCAGAGGCGAAGGCGCCUUCCUGGACAAGUAUUGACGCUGAGGCGCGAAAGCGUGGGAUCAAACAGG
rnacentral:rRNA from 1 species